rnacentral:rRNA from 1 species
UACGUAGGGUGCAAGCGUUGUCCGGAAUUAUUGGGCGUAAAGAGCUCGUAGGCGGUCUGUCGCGUCUGCUGUGAAAACUCAGGGCUUAACCCUGAGCUUGCAGUGGGUACGGGCAGACUAGAGUGCGGUAGGGGAGACUGGAAUUCCCGGUGUAGUGGUGAAAUGCGUAGAGAUCGGGAGGAACACCAGUGGCGAAGGCGGCCGGCUGGGGGUGACCUGACGCUGAGGCGCGAAAGCGUGGGGAGCGAACCGG